rnacentral:lncRNA from 1 species
CUAAGCCGGGGCAUUCGGGAGCAGAACGGGCUGCCAGGAGGCGCCCAGCACGUGGUCCAGGUGUCCCAGAAGGAGCGUUCGCAGCUCCCUGGAGGCGGGAACGGAGUCCCCCGGGGAGAGAGUGGUCCAGGGUUUGCCCUCAGGCGUCCACACUGUCCGCCGGCGAGGCUGGUCCUGUUCCCAGCACCCACGCUGCUAGAGCCACCGGAUCUCCCAGGAGGAGACCCAGCUGCACUCAGAAGAAUCACGCUGGCCUAGGAGAUGGACGGCGGCGUGCGGGGUGAGGAAUAAAAGUCCUGCUGGUGCUGCCCGAGGCCCGGGUUGUGUGGACGGCGGGGGGCGGCACCGGUCUCUCAGUGCCCGGGUUCUGUCUACGUUCUGCCGCCUCCCUGGCCGUACCCGUACCGCUAUUAAGAGGGAUAUGUUCACCGCUGCCCCACCCAUAGAAAACAGACUCUGUGGUGCCCGUGAAAACACACGUUGGUGAGACUGGCACGCCCAUGUCACGUGGCCUCAUGAUCACUCCGGGCUAGGCCCAAUUUCCAAAUAAGGGUGUGCCCACGGGUGCUGGGUCAGGACCCCUCGAUUGUCACCCAAGAAGCCGUGCCGGGCUCUGGCCUAUGCGACCUGUGGUCGUCUGUUACAGUAGCGGGAAGCAGCCUGGGGCCGUGGAGCUGUGCGGGGGCAGAGCUGGCUCCUGGGGUUUGAGGGAACGAGGGCCUCAGAGGGGGUCUGUGGAAGACGGGAUCUGGGCAGCCCCUUGCUGGACGCUGAGCAACGUCGGACUGCAGCUUCCUGCCGGGACCUGACAUGCAAACAGCAGAAACCAUGGGGGCGCGACGCACUUGCUGGGGCAGGCGGGGUGGGCAGCCUGGCGCCAAUCACCUCGGCUCUGCAGCCUGGAGCGGACGGGGCAGGGGGCUUCUGCUGCAUCCGAGGGCCGAGCGUGGCUUUCCAUUCCCAGCCAACGGGUCUGGAAAGCAGACCGCACGGGUCCAAUAAUCAAUCAUCCACUUAAUCAAUUAGGAGUAUGCUAAUGCAGGAGGAUGGCGGGCGGCACUGCACAGGGCCCGGGCUGGAUGCUGGUCCCCUAAUCAGUGGCAGGUGAAGGGGCUGGGGCGGGCCGGGGGCGUCUCCGUGCUUAGAGGGAGAGGAUGCCCGGACGUGGGCCUGGGGGCUCAGCCAGCCGCCUGCCCGCGAGAGGAGGCGCCGCUUUGUCCCGCAGUUACCCUGUAGGGAGGGCUUUCCUGGGUUGUCUGUCACUCAGCGCCAAGCGAGGCAGUUUCAGGGAACAUUUUCAUCACUUCUAAGACCUGGAGAGUGCACUGAGUCCAGCCUCGAAACGAUCCCUGCUUUUCAUCACAGAGGGUGAGUCUGCUGACUUUUGCCUGCAAACCCUGAGAUGCGGUGACAUAAAAAGUGAGAAAAUCGCCAUUCCCUCUCAGCAGCGCAGGCUAUGCUUGGCAUUUGGGAACCACGUGGCACCGUUGGCUCCUCCCUCCUGCUGCGGUCAUGCCAGGAUGCUGCUGCCUGGCCCUCAUCUGUCCGGAUCGGUGCCGCCUCCUUUUCUUCCCCGGGAGAGAAACUGGAGUCCCAGUUCUGAGGCCUUGCUCCGAGCUCGGUACCCUCCUGUGCCGACACCUGCCCCUGUUGUCCUGUUGGGACCUUAACAUUCUGCAGCCAACCUUUGGACUAAGUGUGUGCAGAGUCUCCAUGCCGCGUCUUGCCCCCGAAGACUGGCCCUGCCUCCGCAGGCCUGGCUGCCGUCUGGGUUGGUGUCCAGGGAGUGGGUGUCGAGCUCUCCCUCAGCUGCCACAGCCCAGACCUUCCUGACAUUGCUGCUUGGAGCAGAGGCCUGGGCGCGACCCCUCUGUCUUGGCAGAGGGGGUGACUCUCACUUCGUGUUUGUCAGGGAAGAGGUGAAGUGUUGAGAAUCUGGUCCUUGGAGUGGGCACAUCUUUGGGGAGCAGCAGGGCCUGCUUCAGAGUUUGUUUCCUAAAUAAAACAAUGGCUCUCCAGUGACUUCUCCUGUGCCCUCGAUUGUUUUUGAGGCUGUUGCACUUUUAAAGAGCAGUGUGUCCACACCACCGUUCCUGUGGGCCCACUGUGGGGACAGCUGCUGAACCUUCCAGGACACACCUACAUACCUCAUCCCACCUACACCUCUCACCCUCCUACACACCUCACCCUCCUACACACCUCACCCUCCUACACACCUCACCCUCCUACACACCUCACCCUCCUACACACCUCACCCUCCUACACACCAAACCCUCCUACACACCUCACCCUCCUACACACCUCACCCUCCUACACACCUCACCCACCUACACACCUCACCCUCCUACACACCUCACCCUCCUACACACCUCACCCUCCUACACACCUCACCCUCCUACACACCAAACCCUCCUACACACCUCACCCUCCUACACACCUCACCCUCCUACACACCUCACCCUCCUACACACCUCACCCUCCUACACACCUCACCCUCCUACACACCUCACCCUCCUACACACCUCACCCUCCUACACACCUCACCCUCCUACACACCUCACCCUCCUACACACCUCACCCUCCUACACACCUCACCCUCCUACACACCUCACCCUCCUACACACCUCACCCUCCUACACACCUCACCCUCCGCAGUGUGCUUAUCACCACUGCACCCACGCUUGUGGCUGCAAGGAAGUCCCUGGCUGAUGUGAGUCCUCCUCCCACACACUGGGGCCCAUGGCUUUGGUGUCUAGAAAAGAAUGACAAUAAGGUCAGUACAGGGCAGGCUGGUCAGACCACCUU